AGUGCGGACGGCUCACCUAUAUUCAGCCAAGAGGCAGUGAAAAGUGGAGCUCAAGCUGGUCGGUGCCAAUGGAAUAGUCGAAGGUGACUAUUGUGCAAUGAAAAAAAAAAAAAUCAACCGCGUUGAGCUAGGUGAAUGUAAAUACAGUGAAAGCAUAUUGACGGACUCGGUGCGAAAUUGCCUCGAGGUACUGGAGAUGCGCUCGUGUGUCGAAAUAAAUAACUGCAACGGUACCAGAACAGUAUCGCUGACCUCCUAAUACGAUUCCACGCCGGGAGUGCAGAGCAUCAUCCACUCGAUGGACAAAUUCGAUUCAAUUUAACUGCGGUAAAGUUGCGAACCCGCAGCAUAUUCUUAGAUACCGAGAGACUGCAGUACGUAAGAAACAGGAGAGCGGUACUGAUGGCACAACAUAACAAAAGGACGGUUCUCGAAACUGUUGAGCUCCUGUUAAUAGAAAAUGAGGCUUCAAUGAAAAGUCGCAACACAACCAGGUUAACUACGUAUUCGGAAAGGCUAGAAUACGCCAGUUGAAGGGUGCCUCGGUCUUCGCCGUGGAAGUGUUGGGUAAGCAUGGACUGAAAAAGCUCCUGUGGCGGACCCAACACGGAACACUUCACGACGGACUUCUGAUCACAGCAAGCCUGCAGCAACGGUAACGACCACCAAAACAAUGAGCACCAUUCAUUGCAUCCAAGUGACCCUUAAUCGAGCAAAAGCUGCCACAAGCGUCCUUGCCCGGAGGUUCACCGAAGAUCGCCUAGACAUCGCUCUUAUACAGGAGCCGUGGGCAAAUAAACAAAAAAUCUUUCGUUUAAAUUCCUCAGCUCACAUGAUUCAUUCAACGAGACGUCGUUGCAACAACAAUGGAUGCACCGACGGUUAGGGGCAAGCAGGAGAUUGUAAUCGUAUCGAUGUUCUCAUAAAGUACUGCAGAAA